AUUUGAAUUUGCGUGGCUGAGCUGACAGUUGAGCUUGUGUUCUGCAGUGAGAAGCUACUGGGUGACAGCGAGAGAUUUACCUCAGACGAUGGUGCUUCAGUGUUGCACAAGCUGAUUUUCUGAGAGAUUUAUAUGAGAGGAAGAGUCUCCAAACACUGCAGCUGACUUCUGAUUCGUUGGAGACAGCCUUGGAG